AGGCAUGCUGGAGGUAUCAGAAGUGCGAAUGCUGACAUAAGUAACGAUAAAGCGGGUGAAAAGCCCGCUCGCCGGAAGACCAAGGGUUCCUGUCCAACGUUAAUCGGGGCAGGGUGAGUCGACCCCUAAGGCGAGGCCGAAAGGCGUAGUCGAUGGGAAACAGGUUAAUAUUCCUGUACUUGGUGUUACUGCGAAGGGGGGACGGAGAAGGCUAUGUUGGCCGGGCGACGGUUGUCCCGGUUUAAGCGUGUAGGCUGGUUUUCCAGGCAAAUCCGGAAAACUAAGGCUGAGGCGUGAUGACGAGGCACUACGGUGCUGAAGCAACAAAUGCCCUGCUUCCAGGAAAAGCCUCUAAGCAUCAGGUAACAUCAAAUCGUACCCCAAACCGACACAGGUGGUCAGGUAGAGAAUACCAAGGCGCUUGAGAGAACUCGGGUGAAGGAACUAGGCAAAAUGGUGCCGUAACUUCGGGAGAAGG
rnacentral:rRNA from 1 species